rnacentral:rRNA from 1 species
GACGAACGCUGGCGGCGUGCUUAACACAUGCAAGUCGAACGGUAAGGCCCUUCGGGGUACACGAGUGGCGAACGGGUGAGUAACACGUGGGUGAUCCGCCCUGCACUUCGGGAUAAGCCUGGGAAACUGGGUCUAAUACCGGAUAGGACCACUGCCUGCAUGGGUGGUGUUGGAAAGCUUUUGCGGUGUGGGAUGGGCCCGCGGCCUAUCAGCUUGUUGGUGGGGUGAUGGCCUACCAAGGGGACGACGGGGAGCCGGCCUGAGAGGGUGACCGGCCGACAUGGGACUGAGAUACGGCCCAGACUCCUACGGGAGGCAGCAGUGGGGAAUAUUGCACAAUGGGCGCAAGGCUGAUGCAGCGACGCCGCGUGAGGGAUGACGGCCUUCGGGUUGUAAACCUCUUUCAGCACCGACGAAGCGCAAGUGACGGUAGGUGCAGAAGAAGGACCGGCCAACUACGUGCCAGCAGUCGCGGUAA